UCAUGCUAGACGGGGAGCCAGCGAUUCCCUGUAACCCGCAAUUCGCUAUAGCGGGGUCGAAUUCCUACCCGAGGUAAUUCAGACUAAAAGAGGGCGUGAGGGGGGGAGUGUUGAGAGUUGGGUCCCAUGCAAUAGGGGCUUGUGAACCUGGUCAGGACGGGAACGUAGCAGCCAUAAGCAGGAUUUCCCUAUGUGUUGUGGGUUUACCUAAUUUGAGCUUAUUCUCUCAAAAGUGCUUUGGUUUAAAUUAUCAGAGGUAGGUGCAUGA
rnacentral:SRP_RNA from 4 species